GGGUAAUUAGCUCAGUUGGUUAGAGCACUUGUCUGACGUGCAAGAGGUCAUUGGUUCAAUUCCAGUAUUACCCA
rnacentral:tRNA from 1 species